UCAGAUCAGUGGAUCUCUGGUGAUGAUGAUGGUGUACCUUUCAAUUCCGUUUAUUUCGGAACCCUCAAGUCGGACUUAUGAUUGUUCAGUACCUCAGAUGGUUGUGAUCAAUUCAGAGAUCAGGCUUCAGUGCAGCAGAUGAUCAGACGAUUUGGAGGAUGGUCCAAUGCAUUGCAUUCAUACAUCUGCAUCAUUUUGC
rnacentral:lncRNA from 1 species